UUUGUGUGAUACAGGUGAGACAUACAUUGUGUGAUACAGGUGAGACAGACCAGGUCAAUCCUUUGUGUGAUACAGGUGAGACAUACAUUGUGUGAUACAGGUGAGACAGACCAGGUCAAUCCUUUGUGUGAUACAGGUGAGACAUACAUUGUGUGAUACAGGUGAGACAGACCAGGUCAAUCCUUUGUGUGAUACAGGUGAGACAUACAUUGUGUGAUACAGGUGAGACAGACCAGGUCAAUCCUUUGUGUGAUACAGGUGAGACAUACAUUGUGUGAUACAGGUGAGACAGACCAGGUCAAUCCUUUGUGUGAUACAGGUGAGACAUACAUUGUGUGAUACAGGUGAGACAGACCAGGUCAAUCCUUUGUGUGAUACAGGUGAGACAUACAUUGUGUGAUACAGGUGAGACAGACCAGGUCAAUCCUUUGUGUGAUACAGGUGAGACAUACAUUGUGUGAUACAGGUGAGACAGACCAGGUCAAUCCUUUGAUCUGUGAUCUCUGCUCCAUUAGCUGACUGCAGUAGAGUGGCUUGA